rnacentral:lncRNA from 1 species
GUAGAAAAAUCAGUAUGAGCCAUAUUGCCCUGUACCUGUGUGCAGAUAAGCUUCUCUAUAUGGCCCAGAAGUUGCAAAGCCUCAGAAAUAUCAAGCAUCUACUUGCAGCCCAUGGAACAGCUUAAAGCAAACUACACAUUAUGAAUCUUUCUCUUAAAAUCUUUACAUGGUGAUACAGAUGUGAUCUAAGGAAGA